rfam:Felis catus isolate Cinnamon breed Abyssinian chromosome C2, whole genome shotgun sequence.
ACCUGGGUAGCUCAGUUGGUUGAGCAUCUGACUUUGGCUCAGGUCAUGAUCUCACGGUUUGUGAGUUCAAGCCCCAGGUC